rnacentral:rRNA from 1 species
AUGAGUUUGUUUACAUUUCCUAGAAGCACCUGCGAUGAUUUGGGGCGGAUGAUUCGUAGCUACUGGUGGGGCGCGUACAGAGGCAAGAGGAAACCCUGGAAAUCUUGUGACUCGCUGCUGAGGCCCAAAUCGGCUAGGGCUAUGGGAUUCAAGGACUUCAGACUCUUCAACCAAGCAAUGUUAGCUCGGCAAGCAUGGCGUAUUUUGGUCAACCCGGAAUGUCUUUGUACGCGCGUCUUGAAGGCAAGGUAUUUCCCUAAUGGACGAUUAGAAGAUACUGUUUUCACUAGCAACGCGUCGCAAACUUGGCAGGCCAUUGUGCAUGGGUUGGAAUUGCUGAAGAAAGGCUUAGUAUGGCGCAUCGGUAACAGGCAGUCGGUCCGAAUUUGGCAGGACUCCUGGAUACCACACCCUGUUGACCAGCCACCAAUUACCCAACGGGGAAGGUGCCAUCUCCGUCGAGUCUCAGAGCUCCUAGACGAGUAUGGUGCAUGGCACGGAACCCUACUUCAACAGUACUUUUUGCCCGUUGAUGUUCAGGAGAUACUAAAGAUUAAAGCAUCCCCUCGGCUGGGGGCAGAUUUCCUUGCAUGGGGUGCAGAACGUACCGGUAUCUUCACCAUACGUAGCGCGUACCGGCUGGCGCUUGAGGACAAGCUUCGUCCCUCUUCAGUCGCAGCGAGCAGGGCACCGGACGGGUGACGUGCCGUCUGG